rnacentral:rRNA from 1 species
AAACUUUCAACAACGGAUCUCUUGGUUCUGGCAUCGAUGAAGAACGCAGCGAAAUGCGAUAAGUAGUGUGAAUUGCAGAAUUCAGUGAAUAACGAA